CGAGCUCAGUUACGAGAGCUUGUAACCCGAGUGGGGGUAUUAAGGUGAUGUGGACGCUGUUGUAGUGUUGUGGGCCUGGUUUGGGUGUGCUAAUGCUGGCCUGCCCGUUCCAAGUUGCGUAGUGGACCGGCUGGGGCCUAUGCGAAAGCUGGGCCUCACGGUCCAUAAUGUGGCAGGCACAGCGUGAGGCUGGCUUCACAGAGCAGCGAGCAGCUGGGGCCUAUGCGAAAGCUGGGCCUCACGGUCCAUAAUGUGGCAGGCACAGCGUGAGGCUGGCUUCACAGAGCAGCGACAACUGCUCACUUCCAACGGUGGAAGGAUAACGGGCUGCUACACUCCUGAGCCACUUGGGCCUCGCAGCCUACUCCAGCGAACCAUCACUCUU
rnacentral:SRP_RNA from 2 species